rnacentral:rRNA from 1 species
AUUGAACGCUGGCGGCAGGCCUAACACAUGCAAGUCGAGCGGGGUUUUCGGACCUAGCGGCGGACGGGUGAGUAAUGCGUAGGAAGCUGCCCGAUAGAGGGGGAUACCAGUUGGAAACGACUGUUAAUACCGCAUAAUGUCUACGGACCAAAGUGUGGGACCUUCGGGCCACAUGCUAUCGGAUGCGCCUACGUGGGAUUAGCUAGUUGGCGAGGUAAUAGCUCACCAAGGCAACGAUCGCUAGCUGGUUUGAGAGGAUGAUCAGCCACACUGGAACGGAGAGACAGUCCAGCCUCCAACUGUAGGCAUCAGUGGGGAAUAUUGGACACUGGGCGCUAGCCUGAUCCUGCCAUUCCGUGUGUGUGAAGAAGGCCUUCGGGGUGUAAAGGCCUUUCAGCGAGGAGGAAGGGUGGUGUGUUAAUAGCACAUCAUUUUGACGUUACUCGCAGAAGAAGCACCGGCUAACUCUGUGCCAGCCGCCGCCGUAAUAC